rnacentral:rRNA from 1 species
AUUGAAUGCUGGCGGCAGGCCUAACACAUGCAAGUCGGGCGAGCGGCGGACGGGUGAGUAAUGCAUGGGGACUGCCUGAUGGAGGGGGAUAACUACUGGAAACGGUAGCUAAUACCGCAUACUAUCGGAUAACCCAUAUGGGAUUAGCUAGUAGGUGGGGUAAAGGCUCACCUAGGCGACGAUCUCUAGCUGGUCUGAGAGGAUGAUCAGCAAAACUAGGACUGUAACGCGACCCAGAAUCCAACGGAGGCAGCAGUGAGAAAUAUUGCAAAAUGGACGCAAGCCUGAUGCGGCCAUGCCGCGUGAAUGAAGAGGUCCUUAGGGUUGUAAAGUACUUUCAGCGGGGAAGCGUUACCCGCAGAAGAAGCACCGGCUAACUCCGUGCCAGCAGCCGCGGUAAUAC